AUUAAUUUGGCUUAUCAUACUCUUCAUACUGAUAUGAGUGUUGUCACUGCAUAUUUGUCCUUAUUAGAACGUUGAAGGUUUUUUUCCUAGUAUAACAUAAACAUAACAAUAAUUCGCGUUUUGUAGGUCUUCAUCAUUUAUAGUUUAUGCAGCACUUUCACAUGUCUGAGAACCUGCACAGGCCACUUCAAGUGGUAAGAAAAACAAAGCUCUUGGAAACAAGGUCAAAUCUAGAGUCGGAGUCUCUGGGUCUGCCCAAGAGAGCUGACGAGGAGAAGAUGACUGAGCAUUUACGCUUAAAGGAGGGUGAAGGUCUGAGACGGGAUUUGCAGCCGUUGAAUAAUAACCAGAAAGGGAGAUUAACCAGCACUGAGGGUGCUUCCCUUGACCAGAAAUGCAAUACAUCCAGCCAGCCAAUCCCCAAACGCCAAGCCAGCUCUGUGCUCUUUACUUACGUCCUUGCUCCUUCUCACCCCAAUCAAGUUUGACUAUGUGGCCCCAGCCAACCAGAAUCUCCAGGCUUGUAUGAACCAGGAGAAGAAUCAGCAUUCCAUUCGCAACUGACUUCUUUUCUGUGACUUGUGGACUGCUAGAAGAUGCUCAAGAAAACAAGAACAGGGAAUUGAAAACGGCAAUUAACACACUGUGAGGGAAGUCAAGUCAACCACCUAAAGCAAAGGCUCUAGUACUCUCUAAAGGAGCUAAAUACGUGGUGAAGAAAGCAGAGGAACUCAGCUCUGCUUGAAUAGGCAAAAACCAACCAGACGUCGAUGAAAAUAAUCCAUAAGCAACCUAUAAAUGAAAAUUGGCAUGAAUUUCAUAUGAACCAGAUCUGAGGACUAGCUUAGACCAGGGCCUUCCUUCCCCAAAGAAGGAAGGGCACCAAAGAAGUGGGAUGUGCAGAGUGGUUAUAUACUCUCAAAGAGGAUGUUUCACAUAGGAUUGAAAUGUCCCUUUUACAAUAGUCACAAGACUGCUCUGUCAGCACAGUGGUUGACGGACACAGCAGGUAGUAGGUCUGCUGUCUUGGUGGACACAGCAGGGUAGCAGGGCUGUUUUCUCAAGCUGGGUGGUCAGAGGCGAGCAGAGCAAUCAGUUCCUAGCCUAGGGAGAGAUGCCUAUCCUUAAGGAAAUGCCAACAUGGGGGAAGUUGCAUCUUUAUCUUAAGGGCAUUUGUUCUUGUCUUUGGGACACAGCAGAUGCUUAAAGCAGAUAUACAACUAUACAAUGCAUGCUCACUGGCCAUGUCAGGCCCUUUGGGAAAAACAAGGUCAGGUUGAAUUAGGUUUACAUCAAAUGGCUUCCUCAUAUACUCCAGUAUAUCCUGUUGCUCACCAUUUGUUUGUCACAGAAACCAAAAACUCAUCCCUUUUAAAUAAAUUUUAUUUCAUUCAUUAAAACAGUAUGUAUCUACAUAAAGAUUGCUAAAUACAUGCAAGAGUUGUUAUUUAUUCGGUGCACGGCUCAUUCUUGAUGCAGGUAUGGAUUCCCGGCCCCCUCGCUGCUACAUUGUGCUAUGUCCUCCUCUUACCCCCCAUCCCCAGAAGUAGGGAAAUACUUCUAAAGAUUUAUGAUGAUACUUUGAAAAACCUAUUUCCA
rnacentral:lncRNA from 1 species